AGUGAACGCUGGCGGUAGGCCUAACACAUGCAAGUCGAACGGCAGCACAGCAGUAGCAAUACUGUGGGUGGCGAGUGGCGGACGGGUGAGGAAUACAUCGGAAUCUACCUUUUCGUGGGGGAUAACGUAGGGAAACUUACGCUAAUACCGCAUAAGACCUUCGGUGAAAGCCGGGGACCUCCGGGCCUGGCGCGGAUAGAUGAGCCGAUGUCGGAUUAGCUUGUUGGCGGGGUAAAAGCCCACCAAGGCGACGAUCCGUAGCUGGUCUGAGAGGAUGAUCAGCCACACUGGAACUGAGACACGGUCCAGACUCCUACGGGAGGCAGCAGUGGGGAAUAUUGGACAAUGGGCGCAAGCCUGAUCCAGCCAUACCGCGUGGGCGAAGAAGGCC
rnacentral:rRNA from 1 species